CUCCAAGGCUCCAACCCUUCACUUACAGCCUAAUCUACAUAGCUCUCUGUUCAUUAAAUCUCUCUCGCUCCAAUCAAGAGCUCAAGAUUGAAAUCCACUCGAGAUGACCGAAAGGUUGGCCGCAAGAGGGAUCAUGUUAAACAGAAGUAACUGGGAUGACGGACCUGACUAUGAUGACGAAACAAAGAUAUAUGUAGGAGUUGGAGAGAAAGGCAUAUUGUAUAUAUAUGUAUUGUGACUAUGUCAAGAGUGGAAUACAGAAAGAAGGAUCAUUCCGUGGUAUGAUGAAUAGUGGUUGCAGACAGAUGGAUUAAAGGGUGGGGACCAGGGUUCGAGGGACGCCUGAC